rnacentral:lncRNA from 1 species
AGGAUAUUGGGUCUGAUCACCCUGAGAGUUGGCUGCCACCAACUCCAAAAUCAAAUCUGGGUCCUCAAAGCAAGCACAACCAAAAUCAGAGCACAACAGGAAUGUUCCAAAAGGCUUAUAAGCACCAACUUUAGUACCGGUUCCAAGAGCAGUUGGAUUUGGGGAUAGGAAGAGUUUAGGUACAGGAUCUUGGAUAGAGGCUACAUGCAAGAAGCAAGAAGUCCAUACUGGGAAUUGUGAAACACAUUUUCGGAAGCGUUCGUCACCAAUAAGGGGUGAACCGAAAGUAAUGCAAAGCGGGCGCUUGGCUUUAAAUAAGUUGAGGCCUUCUAGCAGCCAUAAGGUGAAGAGCGUAGCCACACAGCCUCCCAUAGAGUGUCCAGUGAUAAUUACUAAUGAAUUUGAUCUGCUAAUCUAUGCCACAAACAUUAUCAAAAGCUACAUAUAUACAAACUAGUCACGUACUCAAUUGCACUAUAGUUUGUCAAAUUAAUUAUGAUGACGAAAAACUCCAUUACUUUAAAUGGUCAAACGAACAAAAUAGGAAACUCUAUCAGAUUACUAUAGUUAGACUUUCUCUAAGGUUUCUCCAAAUUCACAAGUUGUCAAAAGUAGAAAUGAUGAGUUUAAGGAAAGACAAAAAACAGAAGGAAAGAGAGAGAAGGUACGAACCUCAGUUUUCAGAAGACGGAGCUCAUCAAAACGAGAGGCAAAGAGGUUGAUUGCAGCUUUAUUGAGGGAGAAACUUGGGUUGCUUUUGUUGAGCAAAAAUCCAAAGUCAGGGAGAUUUCUUUCCUUAAAAGUUGAUGAUAAAAUCAAGCCUUCUUGUCCCCUCAAAGACAUGGGUGAAGUCAGAAAAGUUAUGAUGGUAAGAUUUGCUUGUUGGGUUGUAUUAAUGUGUAAGGUUGGUUGUGCAUUUGGAUUGACCUUCUGCUUAUCAUUCUGAAUUGCAUCCCAUGACUGGUGUAGGGGUUCAGAGGUCAACAGCACAUUUGCCAAUUCUAGGCCGCUGCUAAAUCUGUCAUCAAAAAAUCAAACCAAAAAACAGGGAGUAAGAUAUGGGGUUAAUUUAGCAACUAACUUUGUUAAAUUUUUACUAUAAAAAGGAAAAAGAACAUUGAACUUUACUUACAUAUUGCUCAUCUUCUUCUUGUAGCUUUUUCAGAUCUGUUAACAAACACAGUAGAGGAGAAUGAAAACCAGGAUGGUUGAUGUCUUUAUUAUAUACAGGGAAAUGAAUUGCUAUGCCUCCUCCAAUCAAAUGGCCCCACGGCGACGAAACUUUCCACCAAGUCUACAAAAUAAAGCAUAAGUCUACGUCUUCGUCAACGUCGAGUUUAUUCUUGAAAGCUUCUCCGAAGAGCUUAAGCAAAUGGCCAUACUUUUUCUUCAGAAUUCACCAACUAUCAUUAUAAUAUGGGCUUAACUUUUCAUUUGCCCUUAAACUUGUAGUUAACUUUAGAUUUACUUCAUAUUCUUUUUUUAUUCAUAAGAAAUUAAAAAUAUGAACUUUUUUUUCCUCCAAUUUUUCCAUGCCGUCUAAAUCAUUAACAUUUCAUCAAUUUUUUUGUUAAAUUAUUAAAAAUAAUUUAUUUUAUUUAGAAAAAAAUUAAAGAAAAAGAGAACAAAACAAAAACAAAAAAAGAAACCCAUAACCAGGAAACACCAAGUGUAUAGCUUCCUCUGAAUAAAGUAUUCACCUGCAGAAAUUGCUAAAAUUACACUGUUCAGAAUUUUAGAGUACCAAUUUAACAUGGCUUGCAGCAUGAAAACUUAUAGUUUAGAUUCAAUACCAGGAAUUCACGAAUGAAUACUGAGAAAACACCAGUGGCUAGAAUUUUAGCAAAGUAAUUGAUUCUUCUUCCAUAUAACUCUUUCCACAAUGCUUUGAUGAACCGAUAUUCACUAAAGAUUUGUGUCCACAGAAAUACUGUCAUUGAUGUGUAUGCAUGGUAAAGAGGAGGUGAAUGCUCCUUAAACAGUAUAAUACAAAGUAGUCCCAGAAAAAGGCAUCCACAAAGUUGUACCUACAGUAAAUAAUGAGAUUCAUGAGUUAUGUUGAAUAGAUAGAGAAUAUAAAAACCCUUUAUAGACAUCCAAAUCUCAUAUAUUCCCAAACUUCUACUUUAGCUCCUUUUUUUCUUUAAAAAAAAUCUGUAUUUGUAAACUCCUUCCUUCAAUUUGAAAACCACUAUUAAAGCUUACAAGAGGUCAAGCUUACACAAACAUUACUUUUCUGGUAUUAUCUGUCUGGUGAUCUGCUUGCUCCUUUCUAAACAUAUGCCCUGCCAAUGAAGUAUAAGAUUGCAGCCCUGCAUAUGGAGAACAAUAUAGGUCAUCCAACCAAUAUACCCAAGAAUAAUUACAGUCAUGAGCAUCAGCCAAUCGUAUGUUUGAAAAUAGUAAAGAGUAUAGCCAAGCGGCUAUACUAUUUAAAUAUUCAAAAAUAUUUAAAAAUUUAAAAAUAUUUAAUAAAUAUAACCACGCUGCGAUACUCUUUAAAUAUAUUUUAAUAUAUUUACAUUUCCUUCUAUGGAGGCUGAGCCCCGGGCAGAGCGGUAGAAAUUUAUAUGACUCGUAUGAUCUCCGAGCUGUGGCUCACUAACUUAACAAAGCCGUUCAUCCUUCAAUUCACGCUUCUACACACAAGGCUUGAGUCGCAAUUUCAAACAAAGUGUCAAGACACCCAAAAGAAUUUUGUGCCCGCAGCAGUCUUGUAUGGCCACUACCGGCGACAAAAAGCCGAGCACAAGGCCUCCCGGGGCAGCUUGUGACGGCAUGGAGGAAAGUGAAGUAAGGAUUUCUCAAGACAAGCCAAGGAAUGACUGAUUUCAAGUCCUCUCCCCUCCCCAACUUGCCUGCAGUUUGAUCAACUUUGUAUGGCAUAAUUAAGCAUAGUAUCUAUUCUAGCCUGCCAUCAAAACCGAGCCGAGCAUGUAAUUUGAUACCCAACUGCAAGCCUUGUAAUAUAUGAUUUACUCAAUCCAAACAUCCUUAUAAAUCAAAGCUGUAAAAUGCUAAGACAAUGCAUAGCAGUUGGUCUUAGUCCGUUAUGGACAAAACUGUGUGAAGUUCCCUUUCUAUUGAUGUUGAACAAGGUUCAUUUACAACCAUGCUCCAACUAGAAGCAUCCUAUUCCUAUUAAAACCACAUAAAAGAAAGAUUCAUGUGGUGAUAUGGUGGUAUGGUAUACAACAUGUCAACAUUUCUGAAAGAAAGAAAAGGAAGACACAAUCAAAACUUUGAUGACUAAUCUAAGCAGUAAGCAGCAAGCAGCAAGCAGCAAGAGGAAACUUCUAAGUCAGCCUCAGCGCCAUUUCUUGAAAUGGCCCAUUGGCCCUUCUCUUUUUUUCUGUUUGUUAAAUCUUAAAUAGCAGUGAUCUAGUUGUAUUUAUGAAUCGAUGCAUCCAGGGGUGUAUCAUUAGCGCUGGAGUUGACAUGGUCAAUACUCACCCCAUUCCACCUAAUAAUCUUCAAAUAGACAUGAGUUGAGAGUUUGGUGAGUUGACUAAGAGAGUGUGUCUACUCUCGUACACUCGAGAUAGAUCCUCCUCCCAUACAUUUGAAUCAUUUUAAUUAUCACUUUGUCAAGAGAAAAUUAUAAUAAUCUUCAAAUACACCAUAAUCUUCAAAAAGCUUUUCGGAGAUGUGCAUCAUGCAUAUGCAUGAUGGUCCCAUCUAAGCUGGGUUUGUUCCCAUAUAUAAAUACAUAUAUGUAUUUGCUAAAUUUUGGUAUCCAUGACAACAUCCAAGUUAAUUAACAACAGCUCAUCCAUACACCAGAGACAUGUACACAACACAACUUACAGCUACAACUUCUUUACUAGUUACAAGCUUUUCUUUUGUAAAUUCAUCUGCAAGAUUAAUAAAACUUAAAACAAGCUACAAAGUUCUGCUAAUUCCAAGAUUGGCAGCAAAACCCAAUUUGCAAUACCCUUACAAAGCAACAAAGCCACCAACACAGGUUUAUUCAACCACCAAAGCCUACUAGGAAAGGAAAAAGAAAAUACAAAAGGAAGCACACCAAGAAGGCACAAAUUUCAACAUGCUCCAUCCGGUUGGCAUAUAAAACUUAUUCAUUGGAUUAUAGAGGUUCGAAAACCACCUUCACCCCUUUCUCAUAAUGGCGGUACGUGCCAUCCGUCAUGAUACGACCCAGCUGUGUUGAGCUUCGCACAAUUUUAUUAUACUGCUUCCACCAUGCCAUAAAGCUGCUAUACUUCAAGAAAAUAUCAGGGGUUACUGCAAAAUUCUUGAGGGCAUCCAACACAUACUUCUCAAACUCUAUCAACUUUUGCUUGCAUUGUUCCCUUUCUUGAAAACUCGGUUGUCCCUUCUCCAGCUGAUUGCAUAAGAUAAGAGCCUCCUCAACAUGUGCCCAAAAACAAGAAUCAUCAGUCAGACUAGAAGCCACGUUCUGUGCUUUUGACUUGCUUGGACCGUCUUCAACUGUUUCCCCUCUUCUAAUUCUCUCUGCUACCUUCCUUUCCUCCUCUUCCUCGAACCAUUUCUCCAACAGAAUGAAAUGCUUAGGCCUUUCCUCAAUGUAGUUUUUCCCAUCCUUGUCCUUGUAGUACUCUGCAAUGUGAAGUGGUUCCAUCAUCCUUCUGUAGUUUGUACCUCCCAUAAGCCAACGGGUUCGUAAGGCAGCUCCUUCUUUCUGGGGCCUAUUCUCUACUUCUUCAACCAAGUCCUGCCAGUAAUUCGACAGCUUCUUCUUAAACUCUUGGACGUUGAAGUCAGCCCUGUUAUGCUUGUUUUUGUACACGUCAUAGUAUCCAAUUUCCCUAUCUUUUGACUCCUUCUUGUACCACUCAAGGUAGGCCAUGUUCACUUUCAUAUCAUUAAUUUUCUUGGCGGCAUUGGAAGCCCUCGUCUUCUGUAUUGCUAAUUUAUAUUCAUGUGUUUCCAUCUUCUUUAUCAGACUAUUGAGUUGUUUCUGUUGCAAUGCCUUUUUUACAAAGGAGCAGAGAAGGAAUUAGUAGAAGUAAAAUUUAACAACGGGGAAUAUUUCUAACAUUCUUUUGCAAAUAAUGUAUGUGUUGUAGGCUUAUAGGAUGAAAACAUAAAACAUUAUCAAAUCACAUAUUUGCAUUGAAACUUUGCUACCUGUGAUGGGGGAACUCCAAAUAUUGCUGCCAGUUGUGUGAUAAUGCUAGCUUUAAGUGGAACUCUAUCGCUUUCAGCCAACUCAAAGACAUCUUUACAAAAUGCCUUGAGCUUGAGACGUUCCAAGAGCUGUCCAUAAUCAAAAAACUGAAUCCCCACAUUAGGAUAUUGGGUCUGAUCACCCUGAGAGUUGGCUGCCACCAACUCCAAAAUCAAAUCUGGGUCCUCAAAGCAAGCACAACCAGAAUCAGAGCACAACAGGAAUGUUCCAAAAGGCUUAUAAGCACCAACUUUAGUACCGGUUCCAAGAGCAGUUGGAUUUGGGGAUAGGAAGAGUUUAGGUACAGGAUCUUGGAUAGAGGCUACAUGCAAGAAGCAAGAAGUCCAUGCUGAGAAUUGUGAAACACAUUUUCGGAAGUGUUCGUCACCAAUAAGGGGUGAACUGAAAGUAAUGCAAAGGGGGCGUUUGGCUUUUGAUAAGUUGAGGCUUU